rnacentral:rRNA from 1 species
GUGUCAGCAGCCGCGGUAAUACGUAGGGGGCGAGCGUUGUCCGGAUUCAUUGGGCGUAAAGAGCUCGUAGGCGGCUUGGUUAGUUGGGUGUGAAACCUCCAGGCUUAACCUGGAGACGCCACUCAAUACUGCCAUGGCUAGAGUCCGGUAGGGGACCACGGAAUUCCUGGUGUAGCGGUGAAAUGCGCAGAUAUCAGGAGGAACACCGGUGGCGAAGGCGGUGGUCUGGGCCGGCACUGACGCUGAGGAGCGAAAGCGUGGGGAGCGAACAGGAUUAGAUACCCUGGUAGUCC